rnacentral:rRNA from 1 species
GAGUGAACGCUGGCGGUGUGCUUAACACAUGCAAGUCGAACGUAGAAACGGACUUAAAGUUUACUUUAGUUGUCAGCUAAGUGGCGCACGGGUGAGUAAUCUAUAGCUAACCUACCCUAAAGAGGGGGAUAAUUAAUGGAAACGUUUUGUAAUACCCUAUACCGUCUUAUCUUACACAAGUAUUAUAAGAGAAAACUUUAGUGCUUUAGGAUGGGGCUGUAUUGUAUCAGCUAGUUGGUGGUGUAAUGGACCACCAAGGCUAUGACGCAUAACUGGUUUGAGAGGAUGAUCAGUCACACUGGAACUGAGACACGGUCCAGGACUCCUACGGGGAGAAGCAGUGGGGAAUAUUGCACAAUGGGGGAAACCCUGAUGCAGC